rnacentral:rRNA from 1 species
UACACUGCCCCCACUCCUACGGGAGGCUGCAGUCGAGAAUCUUUCGCAAUGGGCGCAAGCCUGACGAAGCGACGCCGUGUGGAUGAUGACAGCUUUCGGGUUGUAAAGUCCUUUCGCUUGGGAGCAAGAGAAGUUAGUUAAUAACUAAUAAUUUGAGAGUACCAGGUAAAGAAGCACCGGCAAACUCCGUGCCAGCAGCUGCGGUAAUACGGAGGGUGCAAGCAUUAAUCGGAUUUAUUGGGCGUAAAGGGCGCGUAGGCGGGUAACCAAGUCAGAUGUGAAAUUUUGAUACUCAACAUCAAAACUGCAUCUGAAACUAGUUAUCUUGAGGGUUGAUGGAGGAAAUAGAAUUCCAGGUGUAGUGGUGGAAUACUUAGAUAUCUGGAAGAAUACCGGUGGCGAAGGCGAUUUCCUAAUUAACAUCUGACGCUGAGGCGCGAAAGCGUGGGGAGCAAACAGGAUUAGAUACCCUGGUAGUCCCACGCCGUAAACGAUGCA